UACGUAGGGUGCAAGCGUUAAUCGGAAUUACUGGGCGUAAAGCGUGCGCAGGCGGUUAUGUAAGACAGUUGUGAAAUCCCCGGGCUCAACCUGGGAACUGCAUCUGUGACUGCAUAGCUAGAGUACGGGUAGAGGGGGAUGGAAUUCCGCGUGUAGCAGUGAAAUGCGUAGAGAUGUGGAGGAACACCCGAUGGCGAAGGCAGCCCCCUGGGCUGAGAUUGACGCUCAGGCACGAAAGCCGUGGGGGAGCAAACAGGA
rnacentral:rRNA from 1 species